UUGAACGCUGGCGGCAGGCCUAACACAUGCAAGUCGAGCGGUAGCACAGAGAGCUUGCUCUCGGGUGACGAGCGGCGGACGGGUGAGUAAUGUCUGGGAAACUGCCUGAUGGAGGGGGAUAACUACUGGAAACGGUAGCUAAUACCGCAUAAUGUCGCAAGACCAAAGUGGGGGACCUUCGGGCCUCAUGCCAUCAGAUGUGCCCAGAUGGGAUUAGCUAGUAGGUGGGGUAACGGCUCACCUAGGCGACGAUCCCUAGCUGGUCUGAGAGGAUGACCAGCCACACUGGAACUGAGACACGGUCCAGACUCCUACGGGAGGCAGCAGUGGGGAAUAUUGCACAAUGGGCGCAAGCCUGAUGCAGCCAUGCCGCGUGUGUGAAGAAGGCCUUCGGGUUGUAAAGCACUUUCAGCGGGGAGGAAGGCGUUAAGGUUAAUAACCUUGGCGAUUGACGUUACCCGCAGAAGAAGCACCGGCUAACUCCGUGCCAGCAGCCGCGGUAAUACGGAGGGUGCAAGCGUUAAUCGGAAUUACUGGGCGUAAAGCGCACGCAGGCGGUCUGUCAAGUCGGAUGUGAAAUCCCCGGGCUCAACCUGGGAACUGCAUUCGAAACUGGCAGGCUAGAGUCUUGUAUAGGGGGGUAGAAUUCCAGGUGUAGCGGUGAAAUGCGUAGAGAUCUGGAGGAAUACCGGUGGCGAAGGCGGCCCCCUGGACAAAGACUGACGCUCAGGUGCGAAAGCGUGGGGAGCAAACAGGAUUAGAUACCCUGGUAGUCCACGCCGUAAACGAUGUCGAUUUGGAGGUUGUGCCCUUGAGGCGUGGCUUCCGGAGCUAACGCGUUAAAUCGACCGCCUGGGGAGUACGGCCGCAAGGUUAAAACUCAAAUGAAUUGACGGGGGCCCGCACAAGCGGUGGAGCAUGUGGUUUAAUUCGAUGCAACGCGAAGAACCUUACCUGGUCUUGACAUCCACAGAACUUUCCAGAGAUGGAUUGGUGCCUUCGGGAACUGUGAGACAGGUGCUGCAUGGCUGUCGUCAGCUCGUGUUGUGAAAUGUUGGGUUAAGUCCCGCAACGAGCGCAACCCUUAUCCUUUGUUGCCAGCGGUUAGGCCGGGAACUCAAAGGAGACUGCCAGUGAUAAACUGGAGGAAGGUGGGGAUGACGUCAAGUCAUCAUGGCCCUUACGACCAGGGCUACACACGUGCUACAAUGGCAUAUACAAAGAGAAGCGACCUCGCGAGAGCAAGCGGACCUCAUAAAGUAUGUCGUAGUCCGGAUUGGAGUCUGCAACUCGACUCCAUGAAGUCGGAAUCGCUAGUAAUCGUAGAUCAGAAUGCUACGGUGAAUACGUUCCCGGGCCUUGUACACACCGCCCGUCACACCAUGGGAGUGGGUUGCAAAAGAAGUAGGUAGCUUAACCUUCGGGAGGGCGCUUACCACUUUGUGAUUCAUGACUGGGGUG
rnacentral:rRNA from 1 species